GCCCUCUUGAGCUCUUGUGGUGACCUGGGAAUCAAUGUGUGAGGUGGUGCUAUGUAGCAGGAACCCCUCUUGCUUUGCAAAUAGUUUUUUGUUUGUUUUCCUUUUUGCCCAAUAGAGCCCUGCUCUACUGACCCUUCAAUGUGCCCGUGUGCCUAAAUAUUCCUGGUCGUGUGAAAAGAACCCAGGUAUUAGCUGAACUAAGGAGCACAAUUCUGCAACAUUUUGGCACCCAAACACGGGGCUUGAGAAAUGAAUGCAAUUGGAGAAACUGGUUGUUUUACCAGGCGUUGAUUGGAAAUGUGUGCUUCCCUUUAAGCAGUCAAGCUCAACUUGCAGAACUGAUGGGAACCCCUUGGGAAAACUGGCCUCAAAUGUUUGUCUACACAGUCCACAUACAGGGUUCUUAACCUGCGACUGACCCUGCUUGUGCCUGUGAACCAACCAACAAUCUCUGGCUGCAGCUCAGAAAGGACAAAAGAGAAUGGAUGAGGGAAACUUCCCAGGGCUUGUCUGGGUAUGCCCACAGUGGACUGGAGCCCAAAAUGCACACUGGAGGAAGUGGAUGGAGCCACGUGGAUGUCAUGCCUUAUGCAGGGGAGGAGCCUGCUCUCUUCAGCUCCUGUGGUAAUGUGGGAAUCGAUCUGUGAGGAAACACUUUCUGAAAAUGUCAGAACUCUUGAAAACAUGGAUGAGGAAAAGCAUAAGUACUGCUUUAUGCUUUUCUUAUGAAUUUUAAAAGAUGUAAUUUAAAGAGGGGUUUUGCCAUGUUGGCCAAGCUGGUCUCAAACUCCUGACCUCAAGUGAUCCGCCCUGGCUUCCCAAGCCCAGCUGAUUCCUGUUUAAAUAAAAACUUACAAAGAUCUUCCCACAAGUACUUUAUCUUACAAUUUACUGAACAAUAGAGGCAGUGAAGAUGUUUUUCAGAAAGCAAUUGUGAUCCUGACAUUUUCUUCUUAUAAUCCUGUGCUUUCCUCAUUUUUUUAUAUUAAAAGUAAUAGUUCUUGUGAUGGCAACUAGGAUUUGUAACAACAUGUACCCUCAUUUCCUGCAUGACCUUUUUUAUGUCACUUCUUCACAUGCAAAGUAUACUCCCUCAGUGUCAUUACAUUAUUUGAUUUUUGCCCUUUCCCUCA
rnacentral:lncRNA from 1 species